rnacentral:tRNA from 1 species
GAUGAUGAUCCCAAGCCUUCUGGCGAUCUCUUAAAAAAGCCUAGCCUGCUUUAAAAAAAACAGGACGUUUAGAUCCUCUUUAAAUCCUUAUAAAUCUUAAAGAGUAUCCAUUUAAAAAAGGGCUUUAUGAAGAAAGCACUUUAAGCUUUUCCAAUGAUUUAAGAUGAUACCGGGGAAGGUUUUCCGGUUUAUCCCGGAGGGCUUGUAGCUCAGUUGGUUAGAGCGCGCGCUUGAUAAGCGUGAGGUCGGAGGUUCAAGUCCUCCCAGGCCCACCAAUUUAUGCUCGUUUUUUACUUAUCCUGAGAGUUAUGAAGCUUAAACGUAUUAAACGUAUCAAAGCCUCUUUAAUCUUUGUUCAUCGUUUAAAGAUUUUAUUUUAUCCUUCAAAAAUUGUUUGUUAAAUUUACAUUGCGUUUAUCAAACAGUGCCUUUGUCAAAAGAAGGAUUUUAAGUUCCCUUCAAGAGGAUAGACAAAUUUAAAGGAUAAAAGCUAAAAAAUGAUACAAAUCAAUAGAAGUCAAAAUAAUAUUGAUCGAAAAAAUAGUAUUGAUUAAAAGAGGACAAGUUACUCAAGUUGAUAAUUUUUUUGAGGUUGAUUUGAGAGGGCAUUCUUUAGGGGCCGUAGCUCAGCUGGGAGAGCACCUGCUUUGCAAGCAGGGGGUCGUCGGUUCGAUCCCGUCCGGCUCCACCAUUUAGAUCAUCAUCAUGUUGUAAGAACACGGUUUAGUAAAAGGCUUAUUUACCCUUUUGCUUGUUCU